rnacentral:rRNA from 1 species
UACAGAGGGUGCGAGCGUUGUCCGGAAUCACUGGGCGUAAAGGGGCGCGUAGGUGGUGGCUUAAGCGUGCGGUGAAAGCUCGGGGCUCAACCCCGAGUCGGCCGUGCGAAACUGGGCUCACUGGAGCAUAGUAGAGGCAGGUGGAAUUCCGGGUGUAGCGGUGGAAUGCGUAGAGAUCCGGAAGAACACCGGUGGCGAAGGCGGCCUGCUGGGCUAUGGGCUGACACUGAGGCGCGGACAAGCGUGGGGGAGC